rnacentral:rRNA from 1 species
UACGUAGGGUGCAAGCGUUGUCCGGAAUUAUUGGGCGUAAAGAGCUCGUAGGCGGCCUGUCGCGUCGGUUGUGAAAGCCCGGGGCUUAACCCCGGGUCUGCAGUCGAUACGGGCAGGCUAGAGUUCGGCAGGGGAGACUGGAAUUCCUGGUGUAGCGGUGAAAUGCGCAGAUAUCAGGAGGAACACCGGUGGCGAAGGCGGGCCUCUGGGCCGAUACUGACGCUGAGGAGCGAAAGCGUGGGUAGCGAACAGG